GCUGGCGUAGCUCAGGUCGGUAGAGCAGCUGAUUUGUAAUCAGCAGGUCGGGGGUUCAAAUCCCUUCGCCAGCUCCA
rnacentral:tRNA from 1 species